AUGGCGGCAGCGCUUCGGCUUGCGGCGAGGAGGAUCUGCGGCAGCGCCCUCGGGCCGCCGCCGCAGGCGUUCCUCGCGGCGGUGGGCAAGGUGGCGCCGAGGAGGAUCAGCACCGGCAACGGCGGGAUCUCGCUUCGCCGGACGUUCAGCGAAUCACCGCAGAAUAACCUUGUCAGCAACAACGCGGCCGAUCCGGCGAGCCUCGGCGCACGGGCGGAGGAGAAGAAGCAGGAGCUGCUCCAGAUCCUCCGGCAGAUGGACCGUCGCCACUGCAAAAACUUCGACAUGGAGAUGGAGAACAAGAAGCUGGUCCACCUGCUUGCGCGAUCCUCUCAUCCUGCACCAUACUCAAUUGGAUAUUUUCUAGAGAACCAUUGGUUAAAAUCCACGGCCGGGGCGUCUCUUGGGCUCCUUGCACUCAUCUACGUGGAGGCAGAGUAUGUAAUUCCUGCGAUCGAUCGAGUAUGUAAGAUGGUGAAGGCGUGA
rnacentral:rRNA from 1 species